GUCCACGCCGUAAACGAUGGGUGCUAGGUGUGGGCGGUGUCGACUCCGUCCGUGCCGCAGCUAACGCAUUAAGCACCCCGCCUGGGGAGUACGGCCGCAAGGCUAAAACUCAAAGGAAUUGACGGGGGCCCCGCACAAACAGCGGAGCAUGUGGUUUAAUUCGACGCGACGCGAAGAACCUUACCAAGGCUUGACAUGCACUGGAAUGUCGUAGAAAUACGGCAGCCCUUCGGGGCCGGUGCACAGGUGGUGCAUGGCUGUCGU
rnacentral:rRNA from 1 species